rnacentral:rRNA from 1 species
CGUAACUAUAACGGUCCUAAGGUAGCGAAAUUCCUUGUCGGGUAAGUUCCGACCUGCACGAAUGGCGUAAUGAUGGCCAGGCUGUCUCCACCCGAGACUCAGUGAAAUUGAACUCGCUGUGAAGAUGCAGUGUACCCGCGGCAAGACGGAAAGACCCCGUGAACCUUUACUAUAGCUUGACACUGAACAUUGAGCCUUGAUGUGUAGGAUAGGUGGGAGGCUUUGAAGUGUGGACGCCAGUCUGCAUGGAGCCGACCUUGAAAUACCACCCUUUAAUGUUUGAUGUUCUAACGUGGACCCGUAAUCCGGGUUGCGGACAGUGUCUGGUGGGUAGUUUGACUGGGGCGGUCUCCUCCUAAAGAGUAACGGAGGAGCACGAAGGUUGGCUAAUCCUGGUCGGACAUCAGGAGGUUAGUGCAAUGGCAUAAGCCAGCUUGACUGCGAGCGUGACGGCGCGAGCAGGUGCGAAAGCAGGUCAUAGUGAUCCGGUGGUUCUGAAUGGAAGGGCCAUCGCUCAACGGAUAAAAGGUACUCCGGGGAUAACAGGCUGAUACCGCCCAAGAGUUCAUAUCGACGGCGGUGUUUGGCACCUCGAUGUCGGCUCAUCACAUCCUGGGGCUGAAGUAGGUCCCAAGGGUAUGGCUGUUCGCCAUUUAAAGUGGUACGCGAGCUGGGUUUAGAACGUCGUGAGACAGUUCGGUCCCUAUCUGCCGUGGGCGCUGGAGAACUGAGGGGGGCUGCUCCUAGUACGAGAGGACCGGAGUGGACGCAUCACUGGUGUUCGGGUUGUCAUGCCAAUGGCACUGCCCGGUAGCUAAAUGCGGAAGAGAUAAGUGCUGAAAGCAUCUAAGCACGAAACUUGCCCCGAGAUGAGUUCUCCCUGACCCUUUAAGGGUCCUGAAGGAACGUUGAAGACGACGACGUUGAUAGGCCGGGUGUGUAAGCGCAGCGAUGCGUUGAGCUAACCGGUACUAAUGAACCGUGAGGCUUAACCU